UACGUAGGGGGCGAGCGUUGUCCGGAUUCAUUGGGCGUAAAGCGCGCGUAGGCGGCAGCGCAAGUCGGCCGUGAAAUCUCCAGGCUCAACCUGGAGGGGUCGGGCGAGACUGCGCCGCUCGAGGUGGGCAGAGGGCAGUGGAAUUCCGGGUGUAGUGGUGGAAUGCGUAGAGAUCCGGAGGAACACCAGUGGCGAAGGCGGCUGCCUGGGCCUGGCCUGACGCUGAGGCGCGAAAGCGUGGGGAGCAAUC
rnacentral:rRNA from 1 species